rnacentral:lncRNA from 1 species
CGAGCUGAGAAGAAAGAACGUGAUGAGAAAGCUGCUGAAGAAAGGAAGAAGAUUGAAGAACGCAAAGCAGAAGAGGAAGCUAAGCGCCUGGAGCAGGAAGAGAAAGAACGAGAGGAGAGGAGAAUUAGAGAGCAUGAGGUAACGAAGAUGAAGGUUAUGUUUGAGGUCGAGGAGUCAGGUUAUGAUGACAGUGUGAAUGAGGCCAAGGAGAAAGAUCUUGUCGCACAGUUCGUCAAAUUCAUCAAGGAUGAAAAAGUUGUUGUGUUGGAGGAGUUGGCAGCCAGGUUUUCGCUGAAGACAAAAGAUGCCAUUGACAGGUAGCAGAUC